UGGAUCGGGCACUCCUUUCUGUUAAAGAUCUCUGCAGCACAGAUUGGCCCCUACUUGAAGAUUCACAGUGUUCUCAUUUUUCGCAGGAGUGUGAAUCCGCGCGAUCAUCAUUCCCGUGGACUUCAAGCUGAUCAUGGAGCUGCUUUGCUAUGGUUAUACUCGGGCCGCUGCCGUCCUCUCCUCUGAGUGCCGUAAUCAAGCCACUCCUUCCGUAGCCAAAAAUCCUUGUCUCCUUCAUGGGCCCAUCGGCGUGAUUGAAUUUGCAGGAUUUUGCCACAUGUCGAUCUCGUCCACUUCCAUUUACUGUUUCGGUGUUUUAUCCGCGAAUGUUGCUCGGAAAACACAUCUCAACCGUGUUCGAUUGAGCUCGUUUCGGGUUUUGUUCAAAAUUUAGAUCAAAACACAGUUUACGCAGAGAUACAAGUCAAGAGAGGAAGUCACCAAUGCAGCAUCGCUCAUCAAAUUUGCAGGUCAUUGAUGAUUUGUCAGCGGGCAAUUCUGUCACGGGGUCUUGAUCCACACACACGCCGAGGUACCAAGCAGUCUAUGGAACUUGUCUUCGACAGGAUACGAAGUUUUGUAAGAUACCUGCUGCUGCUGCUGCAACAACAUUGCCUUCUAAACAUAAAGUAUUGCACCCGGUUGGGGUUUAGGGUUUAGGCAACACACAAUGCUCAUGAUGUAGCAUAGUGUUCAGGGAUUUAGGGUUUGUGAUGCAAUACAUAGAGUUCAUAAUAGAAAAAAGGGCUUUUGCAAAGCAGACAUGACGAUGUGAUGAUGCUUUUGUUGAAACAAAUCGGCUCUAAUUAGAAAUCAUUCUUAAGCAGUUUGUGUAAUUUUUAAAAAUUGAUUAAUUUUUUUGUAUCUGAAGAGGA